rnacentral:misc_RNA from 1 species
GAUGAAGAACGCAGCGAAAUGCGAUAAGUAGUGUGAAUUGCAGAAUUCAGUGAAUCAUCGAAUCUUUGAAAGCACAUUGCGCCCUUUGGUAUUCCUUAGGGCAUGCCUGUUCGAGCGUCAUUUAAACCUUCAAGCUAAGCUUGGUGUUGGGUGACUGUCCGCUUCACUGCGGACUCGCCUCAAAAUUAUUGGCGGCCGGUACAUUGGCUUCGAGCGCAGCAGAAACGCGAACUCGGGCCCGUCGUAUUGGCUCCCAGAAGCUAUCUUCACAAUUUUGGCCUCGGAUCAGGUAGGGAUACCCGCUGAACUUAAGCAUAUCAAUAAGCGGAGGA